UACGGAGGGUGCAAGCGUUGUCCGGAUUUAUUGGGUUUAAAGGGUGCGUAGGCGGCUUUUUAAGUCAGUGGUGAAAUUCUGCAGCUCAACUGUAAGGACUGCCAUUGAUACUGGAAAGCUUGAGUACAUACGAGGUAGGCGGAAUUGACGGUGUAGCGGUGAAAUGCAUAGAUAUAUGGAAGAACACCAAUAACGGCGAAGGCAGUUAACUAUUCUGUUACUGACAUUGAGGCACGAAAGCGUGGGGAGCAAAACGG
rnacentral:rRNA from 1 species